ensembl:processed_transcript
UGCUGCAGUAAAAAAGUUUUAUGUGAAGUACAGAUAUAGUAUGGAUGUCCUGUAUAGGAACUGACCAUUGUUUUUUUCUACUUAUUUGAAUUGGGGUCUUUAGAACACUUUGAAACAUAUUAUAUACAAUUUCUCCAAAACACUGCAGUAAAAAGGUUUCAUGUGAAGUACACAUAUAGUAUGGGAUGUCCUGUAUAAGAACUGACCAUAGAUUUUUUUCUACCUAUUUAAAAUGUGGUCUUUAUAGUAUUUUAUAUUAUGUUAAUACCCCGUUUUUUUUAAAAUGCUGCAGUAAAAACGCUUCAUGUGAAGUACAUAUAUAGUAUGGUAUGUCCUGUAUAAGAACUGACCAUUGUUUUUUUCUACUUAUUAGAAAUGGGGUUUUUAUAUCACUUUAUAAUAGGUUAAUACCCAGUUUCUCCAAAACACUGCAGUAAAAAAGAUUUCAUGUGAAGUACACAUAUAGUAUGAGAUGUCCUGAAUAAGAACUGACCAUUGUUUAUUUCUACUUAAUCGAAAUGGGGUCUUUAUAACACUUUAUAUUAUGUUAAUGUCCCACUUCUCCAGAUUGCUGGAGUAAGAAGUGUUUAUAUGUAGUAUGCAUAUUGUAUGUGAUGUUCUGUACAGGUACUGAUCAUUGUUUUUUGUCUAUUUAUUUAAAAUUGGGUCUUCAUAACACUUUGAGUAAUGUUAAUGCCCAAUUUCUCCAAAACGCUGCAGUAACAAGUCUUUAUAUGAGGUUUAGUAUGGGAUGUCCUGUAUAAGACCUGACUAUUGUUUUUUUUUUCUACAUCUUUUAAAUGAGCAAUUUUUUUUUCCAAAUUGCUGCAGUAAAAAGGAUUCAUUUGUUGUAUAUAUGCAUAUAGCAUGGGACAUCUAGUAUCAGACCUGAUCACUCUUUUAUUUAACUUAUUCCAAACAAUGUAUUUAUAACACUUUAAAGACUUUAUAGCUCAUUAAUAGCCCAUUUCUCCAAAAUGCUGCAGUAAGGUAUGCAUAAAUAUUGGAUGUCCUGUCCAUAGUUUUCUUCUGUUAACUUAAAUGAGGUCUUUCACAUGAGGUAUGCAUGUACAUCCUGUAUCAGAACCAAACUUUGUUUUUUUCCUACUUAUUUCUUUAUAGCUCUUUAAAGUGUGUUAAUGGUACAUUUCUCCAAAAUGCUGCAGUAAAACAGGCUUCAUAUGAUGUAUGCUUAGUAUUUGACUUCCUGCAUCGAUCUUAUUGUUGUUCUAUUCUACUUAUAACAAAUAAUAAGGUCUUUACAGUCAUCUAAAGUGUAAUAAUGCCCCAUAUCCCAUAUACUGAAAGAAGCAUACAUUUUUAAAUCCCCUUUAAAAAAAACCAAUAUAUAUUUGUAACUUAAACAAUGCUAUGUUGGACUACUUCAUGAUUAUUUUCACUUUCUGAGGUUAGGCACGUUGUAUAAAAUUGCAUUCAACCUUAUUUGCAAUCUACUGUAGUUGGCUAGGAGAAAUAAAAACGCAUUCUGUGUAUUUAGAAAUCGUAUAUUUAUUCUGUCCGUUUGAUCUGCUAUAAAAUCAUUUGAAGCAAAAAGAUAAACUUGAGGAAAUUAAAGGUAAGCCCAGAAACCAAUUUCUUAAAAUAACAACAGUCAAAAAAGCUAUUAAAUUGUUUAAUAAAGCAUACGUGGGAGGAAAGGGGGAUAAAUUUAUAUUUCGUUGUCAUCUCUCUGUUCAGGGCGAAA